rnacentral:rRNA from 1 species
CACGUAGGGUGCGAGCGUUGUCCGGAAUUAUUGGGCGUAAAGAGCUCGUAGGCGGUGUGUCGCGUCGGCCGUGAAAACCUGCAGCUUAACUGUGGGCUUGCGGUCGAUACGGGCAGGCUAGAGUUCGGUAGGGGAGACUGGAAUUCCGUGGUGUAGCGGUGAAAUGCGCAGGAUAAUCAGGAGGAACACCGGUGGCGAAGGCGGGUCUC